AUUGAACGCUGGCGGCAGGCUUAACACAUGCAAGUCGAACGGUAACAUGAAGAAGCUUGCUUCUUUGAUGACGAGUGGCGGACGGGUGAGUAAUGCUUGGGAAUCUAGCUUAUGGAGGGGGAUAACUACGGGAAACUGUAGCUAAUACCGCGUAGAAUCGAGAGAUGAAAGUGUGGGACCUUCGGGCCACAUGCCAUAGGAUGAGCCCAAGUGGGAUUAGGUAGUUGGUGAGGUAAAGGCUCACCAAGCCGACGAUCUCUAGCUGGUCUGAGAGGAUGACCAGCCACACUGGGACUGAGACCUGGCCCAGACUCCUACGGGAGGCAGCAGUGGGGCAAUAUUGCGCAAUGGGGGCAACCCUGACGCAGCCAUGCCGCGUGAAUGAAGAAGGCCUUCGGGUUGUAAAGUUCUUUCGGUAGCGAGGGAAGGCAUUUAUGUUUAAUAUGAUCUAAG
rnacentral:rRNA from 1 species